rnacentral:misc_RNA from 1 species
CUAGAGAUGCACGACUGCCAUGCUUGUUUCGGGCUAUCCCGUGCGGGCUUGGCNUCGGCAAAGGAAUGCUACCUGGUU